GCAAUUAUACGGCGAAACUGCGAAUGGCUCAUUAUAUAAGUUAUCGUUUAUUUGAUAGCACCUUACUACUUGGAUAACCGUGGUAAUUCUAGAGCUAAUACAUGCUGAAAAUCCCGACUUCGGAAGGGAUGUAUUUAUUAGAUUAAAAACCAAUGCCCUCUGGGCUCUCUGGUGAUUCAUGAUAACUGCGCGAAUCGCAUGGCCUUGCGCCGGCGAUGGUUCAUUCAAAUUUCUUCCCUAUCAACUUUCGAUGUUUGGGUAGUGGCCAAACAUGGUUGCAACGGGUAACGGAGGGUUAGGGCUCGGCCCCGGAGAAGGAGCCUGAGAAACGGCUACUACAUCCAAGGAAGGCAGCAGGCGCGCAAAUUACCCAAUCCCGACACGGGGAGGUAGUGACAAUAAAUACUGAUACAGGGCUCUUUUGGGUCUUGUAAUUGGAAUGAGUACAAUUUAAAUCCCUUAACGAGGAACAAUUGGAGGGCAAGUCUGGUG
rnacentral:rRNA from 1 species